rnacentral:rRNA from 1 species
CCUACGGGAGGCAGCAGUGGGGAAUAUUGCACAAUGGGGGAAACCCUGAUGCAGCGACGCCACGUGAAGGAAGAAGUAUUUCGGUAUGUAAACUUCUAUCAGCAGGGAAGAAAAUGACGGUACCUGACUAAGAAGCCCCGGCUAACUACGUGCCAGCAGCCGCGGUAAUACGUAGGGGUCAAGCGUUAUCCGGAUUUACUGGGUGUAAAGGGAGCGUAGGCGGUUUAGCAAGUCAUAAGUGAAAGCCCGGGGCUCAACUCCGGGACUGCUUUUGAAACUGUUGAACUAGAGUGCAGGAGAGGUAAGUGGAAUUCCUAGGGUAGCGGUGAAAUGCGUAGAUAUUAGGAGGAACACCAGUGGCGAAGGCGGCUUACUGGACUGUAACUGACGUUGAGGCUCGAAAGCGUGGGGAGCAAACAGGAUUAGAUACCCUAGUAGUC